AGCUCCAAUAGCGUAUAUUAAAGUUGCUGCAGUUAAAAAGCUCGUAGUUGCAUUUCCGAGGCAAGGGAUUAGUCCGACCUUUGGUGGGUAUUUAAUCCUCUUGCCUCGUCCUUGAGUGGUGCUUCUUGGUAUUAAGUUAUCGAGGAGAUAGCCGCUCAUCGUUUACUGUGAGAAAAUUAGAGUGUUCAAAGCAGGCUUAUGCCGUUGAAUAUAUUAGCAUGGAAUAAUAAGAUAGGUCCUCGGUACUAUUGUGUUGGUUUGAGAACCAAGGUAAUGAUGAAUAGGGACAGUUGGGGGUAUUCGUAUUCAGUUGUCAGAGGUGAAAUUCUUAGAUUUACGGAAGACGAACUACUGCGAAAGCAUUUACCAAGGAUGUUUUCA
rnacentral:rRNA from 1 species